CUUUGAGAAAGCAGAAGCUGACGGCGGAUGCUCCGCCGUUGGUGGUGGCUGAGGCUGAUUUCUGUUAGAUGGGAUUUGGGUUUGAGGAGCUGAUACCUUUUGAGGAGUCGGGACAGUGGACUGAGGUUGGUAAGAUUGAUAUGGACCUCUGGUUGCAAUCCCUGUCGCCGAAUCAAAGCCAUUAAUUCCUGAUGUUGGAGGCUUUUGCGUGCUGCUACAGCAACCCAUAAUCUAAUCAGAAAGUGUCAAUGUGGAGAGGGAUGUUUUCAGUAAAAACCCAAAUGGGGAUUGGAUUUCUAGGAAUGUUGAAGAACAAAUCUGACACUCAAGUCUGCAUCCGGG
rnacentral:misc_RNA from 1 species